ACCAGAAAACCAAUCCAAAGACCCUCUAACCCCAGACCGGCAUCAUUGAACCCUACAGAAUGACGGAACCGCUUGUCCCAUGGCAUUUGCUCUCGGCUCUGAUGACUGAUACCCUCGAUCCUCCGAGCUAUCUCUACAAGUAGCUCGUAAGAAGUCCCCAUCUCAACCUCUCGGUCCAUAGUGACCUGGAUACCUGAGUGCAACCCGUAACAAACCUAUGUACCCCCACAACCCAAGCCUCACCAUAGAGACACAUAAAACUUAAAACUACCAAAAUGAAAAAGAAGAGGAAAAUAUUUACAGCAAAAUAUAAGUUGUAGUAGUAGUAUAAUAUUAGACCAAAUAGUCAGAUAAGAGAUGGACUAUUUGGGCCCCCAGAAGAUAAGAUGCAUAAUUUUUUCAGCCUCCCUAACUCUGCGCUUCUGAUCAUCCAUGAAUGCUUUCUUCCCUGAAUCUCCGAUGCCGGAAAACCAUUUCAGCCGGCCUCCGUUGCUGGAUUCCGAUGACGAACUCGCCGGAGAGGGCUUAAUUCCUGCCACCAUCAUGUUUUUCAUGUAGUACAUUGUUCUCUCUUUAUGAGUGUAGCCCUUGUACUUGACUAAUUUCCUUUUUCUGGGAAAUUCUUUUAGGGGAGAGAACUAACUACUGAUCUAAAAUAACGCAAGAUUAUAGAUUGAGAAAGUCUUUUGAAAUCCUACUUAAUUUGUAUGCGCUUGUAAUGUGUUACACUUUGUUUUGUU
rnacentral:lncRNA from 1 species